rnacentral:rRNA from 1 species
AAUUUAAGCAUAUUAAUAAGCGGAGGAAAAGAAACUAACAAGGAUUCCCCUAGUAACGGCGAGUGAACGGGGAAGAGCCCAACACCGAAUCCCUUGGCGCAAGUCAACGGGAAAUGUGGUGUUAAGGUUGCCCUUCGUGUCAGUCUAGGCGUCUCAAGUCCACCUAAUUGUGGCUCUCAAGCCCAGAGAGGGUGUAAGGCCCGUAGAGACGCUCCGACUGAUUCCUGGGGUUUACCUACGAGUCGGCUUGUUUGGGAAUGCAGGCCAAAGCGGGUGGUAAACUCCAUCCAAGGCUAAAUACUGGCACGAGUCCGAUAGCGGACAAGUACCGUGAGGGAAAGUUGAAAAGAACUUUGAAGAGAGAGUUCAAUAGUACGUGAAACCGCUUAGAGGCAAACGGAUGGUGCUCAUACUGGCCUGAGGAAUUCAACCAUGCCGGCGGCUGGGCAGGCUAGCGUCUAGAUCUCUCUUUUGGGACUGGCGUUGGUUUGUACUAGCUUCGACAUGGUGCACUUUCCUUAGUGCCUCCGCCACGACCGACGACACUGGCUACCCGCGGCUGGGGUAAGGUGACAACCUGCUUCGCGGCAGUUUGUGUUAUAGACCCCGGCGACGGACUUGUUUGGCCAGGACGUCGAGCUAGCGGCGCCCGCUCCUUGUGGGCUCGCAUGUUGGCUAGCUUGGCUGUGCCGAUGCUUGCACUGGUAACCAGUACAGGUGACGGUUGCGGUCUUGUUCUAGUUGGCCUCUGCGAGUUUGGCGCCUAUAGUCUGUGGUGUAUUUGUGGGUAGACUAUCCGACCCGUCUUGAAACACGGACCAAGGAGUCUAACAUGUGCGCGAGUCAUGGGGAUUUUACGAAACCCAAAGGCGCAGUGAAAGUAAAGGCCUGCUUCUCGUAGGCUGAGGUGGGAUCUCGUGCAUCGCGAUUGGCGAGCGCACCACCGGCCCGUCCUAUCUGUCUCUGUCAGUGGGGCGGCGCAAGAGCGUACACGUUGGGACCCGAAAGAUGGUGAACUAUGCUUGCGCAGCUCGAAGUCAGUGGAAACACUGAUGGAGGAGCGCAGCGUUUCUGACGUGCAAAUCGAUCGUCAAACGUGAGUAUAGGGGCGAAAGACUAAUCGAACCAUCUAGUAGCUGGUUCC